rnacentral:rRNA from 1 species
UGCGUAGGGUGCGAGCGUUAAUCGGAAUUACUGGGCGUAAAGCGUGCGCAGGCGGUACGUUAAGACAGGUGUGAAAUCCCCGGGCUUAACCUGGGAAUUGCGCUUGUGACUGGCGUGCUCGAGUGCGGCAGAGGGGGGUGGAAUUCCAGGUGUAGCAGUGAAAUGCGUAGAUAUCUGGAGGAACACCGGUGGCGAAGGCAGCCCCCUGGGCCGACACUGACGCUCAGGCACGAAAGCGUGGGGAGCAAACAGG